UUCAAAAUGGACAGCGAUUCCUAUCCAUCGUCUGCUAGAACGGUGAGGCGUUGCAAACGACGGCGGCGACCGCGUAAAAUCCGAACACAACGGCGACGGAUAGGUUCUUACACAUCUCUUGAGACUGAUACUACCGCAUCGCGAAGUCGAUCGGUAAGUGUUAAUUCCAGUUCUAGUUUUUUUUCAUUAUCACCCCUACGUCAACGGUCGCUCUCGUCGACUUCAUAUUCUCCUUGGAGCUCGAGUAGCGACGUGAAGUCUUUUCAUAGUAAAUCAACACUGUGGUUGGAAUCGGAUACAGAUGACGAACAUGGAAUUGGAAAUUGGUCUACAUCAGAACCAUCAAUAAUUUCGCUAGCAGAUUCAUGGUCAUCAACAGAUGUUACUUAUGAAUCGGAUGCAGACGUGUUACCUCCACUUCUGCGUCUUAAUCAGCCAGCUAUUGAAACCAUUUGGCUAACUGAUUCGGAUUAAUAUGGUUUUUAGGGAGGUAUUUAUUAUUGUUGAAAACAUGAACGUUAGAGAUCACUGUUAACAGAUAGAGUUGUUGGAAAUUAUUGUCAUGUGUACUCUACGCUAUGAGACUUAAAUGUUUUAAAAUCAAUGAGGUGAACCCUUCACUAACCGAAGAUAACCACAAUCUGGAGACCAUCUUGCAUGCUCGAUCCAAGGUUCGUCGUUCGGCUCCCAAGAUCUCAGACCUUGACGACAAUAAAAACAUGAGACAUCAUCAUUUGAUCCAUCACCAAUAUAAAUAAAACCGGCUUCACUCAUAAGUUCUCGCUUUGAAAUAAGUAGUGUAUUACUACAUUUAUCAAAAGUCUUGUUACGCGUUUUACAAUCUAAAUAGUCUAAUGUACAAAAAACAUCACAUUCACUAUUAUAAU